GAGUUUGAUCAUGGCUCAGGAUGAACGCUGGCGGCGUGCCUAAUACAUGCAAGUCGAGCGAACGGACGAGAAGCUUGCUUCUCUGAUGUUAGCGGCGGACGGGUGAGUAACACGUGGAUAACCUACCUAUAAGACUGGGAUAACUUCGGGAAACCGGAGCUAAUACCGGAUAAUAUUUUGAACCGCAUGGUUCAAAAGUGAAAGACGGUCUUGCUGUCACUUAUAGAUGGACCCGCGCUGCAUUAGCUAGUUGGUAAGGUAACGGCUUACCAAGGCAACGAUGCAUAGCCGACCUGAGAGGGUGAUCGGCCACACUGGAACUGAGACACGGUCCAGACUCCUACGGGAGGCAGCAGUAGGGAAUCUUCCGCAAUGGGCGAAAGCCUGACGGAGCAACGCCGCGUGAGUGAUGAAGGUCUUCGGAUCGUAAAACUCUGUUAUUAGGGAAGAACAUAUGUGUAAGUAACUGUGCACAUCUUGACGGUACCUAAUCAGAAAGCCACGGCUAACUACGUGG
rnacentral:rRNA from 1 species